AUUGAACGCUGGCGGAAUGCUUUACACAUGCAAGUCGAACGGCAGCACGGACUUCGGUCUGGUGGCGAGUGGCGAACGGGUGAGUAAUACAUCGGAAAGUGCCCAGUCGUGGGGGAUAACGUAGCGAAAGCUACGCUAAUACCGCAUAAGAUCUACGGAUGAAAGCGGGGGAUCGCAAGAACUCGCGCGAUUGGAGCGGCCGAUGGCAGAUUAGGUAGUUGGUAGGGUAAAGGCAUACCAAGCCGACGAUCUGUAGCGGGUCUGGGAGGAUGAUCAGCCACACCUGGAAUGAGACACGGCCCAGACUCCUACGGGAGGCAGCAGUGGGUAAUUUUGGACAAUGGACUCAAGUCUGUUCCAGCCAUUCCGCGUGCAGGAUGAAGGCCCUCGGGUUGUAAACUGCUUUUGUACAGAACGAAAAGGCUCUGGUUAAUACCUGGGGCUCAUGACGGUACUGUAAGAAUAAGCACCGGCUAACUACGUGCCAGCCGCCGCCGUAA
rnacentral:rRNA from 1 species